CCUACGGGAGGCAGCAGUGAGGAAUAUUGGUCAAUGGACGAGAGUCUGAACCAGCCAAGUAGCGUGAAGGAUGACUGCCCUAUGGGUUGUAAACUUCUUUUAUAUGGGAAUAAAACGUUCCACGUGUGGGAUUUUGUAUGUACCAUAUGAAUAAGGAUCGGCUAACUCCGUGCCAGCAGCCGCGGUAAUACGGAGGAUCCGAGCGUUAUCCGGAUUUAUUGGGGUUAAAGGGAGCGUAGGUGGAUUGUUAAGUCAGUUGUGAAAGUUUGCGGCUCAACCGUAAAAUUGCAGUUGAAACUGGCAGUCUUGAGUACAGUAGAGGUGGGCGGAAUUCGUGGUGUAGCGGUGAAAUGCUUAGAUAUCACGAAGAACUCCGAUUGCGAAGGCAGUUCACUGGACUGCAACUGACACUGAGGCUCGAAAGUGUGGGUAUCAAACAGGAUUAGAGACCCCAGUAGUC
rnacentral:rRNA from 1 species